rnacentral:misc_RNA from 1 species
AACCGCUUUGAAAGGAAAAAGAACGUAGAGUUGGCUGUUUCAGCAUUUGCUAUGCUUCACACCCUUGAUAAGCAUGCUCUUGAAAAUCAUAAUCUACUUGAUGCCACUUUGACUAUUGCAGGCAAGUCUGGCUACUGCUGCUGAGUUCUACUGGCAUGUGCCUCUUUAAGAUAGCCUCAUCAGUCAUCAUUACUUCACUUUAUACUGCAUAAAUUCUUGUUUCAGGUGGAUAUGACAAACGACUGAGAGAAAAUGUUGAGUACUUGGAGGAACUUAAAAGCUUAGCUGAAAGGGAAGGUGUGUCUCAUCGAGUUAAGUUUGUCACAUCUUGCUCAACAGCUGAAA